rnacentral:rRNA from 1 species
GACGAACGCUGGCGGCGUGCCUAAUACAUGCAAGUAGAACGCAGUUGAGAACGGGUGAGUCACGCGUAGGUAACUGCCUCAUAGCGGGGGAUCAAUAUUGAAAACGAUAGCUAAUACCGCAUACUGUGAGUUGCACCUGCGUUGUAUUAGCUAGUUGGUGCGGUAAAUGAUCACCAAGGCGAUGGUACAUUGCCUACCUGAGAGGGGGAUCGGCCAAACUGGUGAUGAGACACGGCCCAGACUCCUAAGGGAGGCAGCAGGAGGUAAUCUUCGGCAAUUGACGGAAGGAUGACCGAGCAACGCCGCGUGAGUGAAGAAGGUUUUCGGAUCGUAAAGCUCUGGUGUUAGAGAAGGGGUAACUAACCAGAAAGGGACGGCUAACUACGUGCCAGCAGCCGCGGUAAUUC